rnacentral:rRNA from 1 species
GAUGAACGCUGGCGGCGUGCUUAACACAUGCAAGUCGAACGAUGAAGCCCAGCUUGCUGGGUGGAUUAGUGGCGAACGGGUGAGUAACACGUGAGUAACCUGCCCUUGACUCUGGGAUAAGCCUGGGAAACUGGGUCUAAUACCGGAUACGACCAUUGCCCGCAUGGGUUGGUGGUGGAAAGCUUUUGUGGUUUUGGAUGGACUCGCGGCCUAUCAGCUUGUUGGUGAGGUAAUGGCUCACCAAGGCGACGACGGGUAGCCGGCCUGAGAGGGUGACCGGCCACACUGGGACUGAGACACGGCCCAGACUCCUACGGGAGGCAGCAGUGGGGAAUAUUGCACAAUGGGCGAAAGCCUGAUGCAGCGACGCCGCGUGAGGGAUGACGGCCUUCGGGUUGUAAACCUCUUUCAGUAGGGAAGAAGUGAGAGUGACGGUACCUGCAGAAGAAGCGCCGGCUAACUACGUG